GGGUGACAGGUGGUGGCAUGGUUGUCGUCAGCUCGUGUCGUGAGAUGUUGGGUUAAGUCCCGCAACGAGCGCAACCCUCGACCUUAGUUGCCAGCAUUCAGUUGGGCACUCUAAGGUGACUGCCGGCUAAAAGUCGGAGGAAGGUGGGGAUGACGUCAAAUCAUCAUGCCCCUUAUGACCUGGGCUACACACGUGCUACAAUGGGCGGUACAAAGGGUCGCGAACCCGCGAGGGGGAGCCAAUCCCAAAAAGCCGCUCUCAGUUCGGAUUGCAGGCUGCAACUCGCCUGCAUGAAGCCGGAAUCGCUAGUAACCGCGGAUCAGCAUGCCGCGGUGAAUACGUUCCCGGGCCUU
rnacentral:rRNA from 1 species